rnacentral:misc_RNA from 1 species
GAUGAAGAACGCAGCGAAAUGCGAUACGUAAUGUGAAUUGCAAAUUCAGUGAAUCAUCGAGUCUUUGAACGCACAUUGCGCCCCCUGGUAUUCCGGGGGGCAUGCCUGUCCGAGCGUCAUUGCUGCCCUCAAGCACGGCUUGUGUGUUGGGCCCCGUCCUCCGAUCCCGGGGGACGGGCCCGAAAGGCAGCGGCGGCACCGCGUCCGGUCCUCGAGCGUAUGGGGCUUUGUCACCCGCUCUGUAGGCCCGGCCGGCGCUUGCCGAUCAACCCAAAUUUUUAUCCAGGUUGACAUCGGAUCAGGUAGGGAUACCCGCUGAACUUAAGCAUAUCAAUAAGCGGUGGA